rnacentral:tRNA from 1 species
GUCGGGAUAGCUCAGCUGGYAGAGCAGAGGACUGAA